rnacentral:rRNA from 1 species
CCAGACUCCUACGGGAGGCAGCAGUGGGGGAUAUUGCACAAUGGGGGGAACCCUGAUGCAGCGACGCCGCGUGGGUGAAGAAGUAUUUCGGUAUGUAAAGCCCUAUCGGCAGGGGAGAAAUUUGAAGGUACCUGACUAAGAAGCCCCGGCUAACUACGUGCCAGCCGCCGCGGGAAUACGUAGGGGGCAAGCGUUAUCCGGAUUCACUGGGGGUAAAGGGAGCGUAGACGGCCAUGCAAGCCAGGAGUGAAAGCCCGGGGCCCAACCCCGGGACUGCUCUUGGAACUGCGCGGCUGGAGUGCAGGAGGGGCAGGCGGAAUUCCUGGUGUAGCGGUGAAAUGCGUAGAUAUCAGGAGGAACACCGGUGGCGAAGGCGGCCUGCUGGACUGCGACUGACGUUGAGGCCCGAAAGCGUGGGGAGCAAACAGGAUUAGAUACCCUAGUAU